rnacentral:rRNA from 1 species
UACGAAGGGGGCUAGCGUUGCUCGGAAUGACUGGGCGUAAAGGGCGCGUAGGCGGUUUGGACAGUCAGAUGUGAAAUUCCUGGGCUCAACCUGGGGGCUGCAUUUGAUACGUUCGGACUAGAGUGGGGAAGAGGGUCGUGGAAUUCCCAGUGUAGAGGGUGAAAAUUCGUAGAUAUUGGGAAGAACACCGGUGGCGAAGGCGGCGACCUGGUCCGAUACUGACGCUGAGGCGUGAAAGCGUGGGGGAGCAAACAGG